UACGGGGGGGGUAAGCGUUGUUCGGAAUUACUGGGCGUAAAGGGCGCGUAGGCGGUCGUGACAAGUCACUUGUGAAAUCUCCGGGCUUAGCUCGGAACGGUCAAGUGAUACUGUCGGACUAGAGUACAGAAGGGGCAACUGGAAUUCUCGGUGUAGCGGUGAAAUGCGUAGAUAUCUGGAGGAACACCGGUGGCGAAGGCGGCAUCCUGGACCGGUAUUGACGCUGAGGAGCGAAAGCCAGGGGAGCAAACGGG
rnacentral:rRNA from 1 species